rnacentral:tRNA from 3 species
GGGCGAUUGGCGCAGUGGUAGCGCGCUUCGUUCACACCGAAGAGGUCGGCGGUUCGAAACCGCCAUCGCCCACCG